rnacentral:rRNA from 1 species
CUUUACUGUAGCUUGGAAUUGAGUUUGAGUUUAUUUUGCGCAGUAUAGGUGGGAGGCUAAGAUAAUAAGCUUGAGGGUUUAUUGGAGCCAAUAGUGAGAUACCACUCUAAGUAAACUAGAAUUCUAACCUUGAUAGUCGUUAGCCGGCCAAGGAACAGUUCCAGGUGGGCAGUUUGACUGGGGCGGUCGCCUCCUAAAAGGUAACGGAGGCGUGCAAAGGUUCCUUCAGGCUGGUCGGAAAUCAGUCGUAGAGUAUAAAGGCAUAAGGGAGCUUGACUGCAAGACCUACAAGUCGAGCAGAGACGAAAGUCGGCCUUAGUG